CCUACGGGUGGCUGCAGUGGGGGAUAUUGCACAAUGGGGGGAACCCUGAUGCAGCGACGCCGCGUGGGUGAAGAAGCGCCUCGGCGCGUAAAGCCCUGUCAGCAGGGGAGAAAAGGACGGUACCUGAAGAAGAAGCCCCGGCUAACGACGUGCCAGCAGCCGCGGUAAUAAGGAGGGGGCAAGCGUUAACAGGAUUUACUGGGUGUAAAGGGGGCGCAGACGGCGAUGCAAGCCAGGAGUGAAGGCCCGGGGCCCAACCCCCGGACUGCUCUUGAGACUGGGUGGCUUGAGUGUAGGAGGGGCAGGCGGAAUGCCUGGUGUAGCGGUGAAAUGCGUAGAUAUCAGGCGGAACACCGGUGGCGAAGGCGGCCUGCUGGACUGCAACUGACGUUGAGGCCCGAAAGCGUGGGGAGCAAACAGGAUUAGAUACCCGUGUAGUC
rnacentral:rRNA from 1 species